GGGGAGCGUUGGAGCAGUGAUGCCUCGCUCGGGUGAGAUGUGAGCCUUUGCCUUGAGCAGUGCCUCUGCUCAUAGCGCACUGCUUGAGCACACGUUUGUGGCCAGGCUGCCCGCACGCCAGGAGCAGCGAUUCUCUCCAGUUCUCAGCAGAUACCUGCGCUCCGGUCUGCGUCCGGACGGCCAAAGCGAAGCGCCGGAGGCGGUGCCGGGCCCGGGGUACGCCGUAAGAUGGCUGCGGAUCCUUUCGCUUUCGGUUCCGUCUCCGCAACGGUUCUCCCCGCCCCGCCCGGAGGCGGGCAGCGCUGGGACGAGGCGCCGUGCCCGGAGCGGGGGGUUGGACUGCGGCCGUGUUUGAGGCGGAGGCGGCGGCGGCGCGGAGCAGCGGACCCAGGGAGGGGUUACGGCCCGGCCCCGGGACCACCGUGCGCGUCUCCGAGCGGCACCGGAGCCACGCGGCGGAAAUCCUCGUUAUUCUCCGCGCUCACGCAUCGGGGGGGGGGGCAGCCCCGUACUCCGCCGUCCC
rnacentral:lncRNA from 1 species